CUCCCAACGUGAUCAUUGUCUUGAUUCCGGCGCAACUCCUACUGCAUGUCUUUCUUCCAUCGUAGUUAAUCCUGCACACUUAAAACAAAACUUCGAUUGAGACAAUUAAUCCUAAGCAAUUAACCAAGUUGUCCGGCAUGUCAUUGGUCCCUCGAUGCUUCGUCCGAUUCUUCGGCGUAUCAUCCUCUCCUGCAGCCUAUUGCCCAAUCGGCCAGUUGACUCCGCAACUUCGAUAUCCUUGGCACAAUACCCGCUCUUCUUGGCCCGAUGCCCGAGUCCACGGCCCGAAGCCUUCUGUCGAUAUGUCGACCGAUCCACCGGCCCGACGUCCAAUCUUCUAAUAUGUUCCUCCGGCACAACAUG
rnacentral:lncRNA from 1 species